rnacentral:tRNA from 1 species
GCCUGGGUGGCUCAGUCGGUUAAGCAUCUGACUUCGGCUCAGGUCAUCAUCUCACAGUUUGUGGGUUUGAGCCCCGCAUCAGGCU